rnacentral:rRNA from 1 species
AGCCUCAGCAGAUGGCAGCAUUUAGCUGACCUUGUCUGAUCUCAGAAUACUAAACNGGGUUCAGCUUGAUUAGCACUUGGAUUGGACACCAUGUGGUAAUCCCAGGCCUGGAGGUUA